rnacentral:rRNA from 1 species
GUACACACCGCCCGUCGCUCCUACCGAUUGAAUGUUCCGGUGAACACUCUGGAGUCGUGGUUUCUGUAGGUUCUCCUGCUUAACCAAUGGCAAAGUUGUGUAAACCUUAACAUUUAGAGGAAGGAGAAGUCGUAACAAGGUUUCCGUAGGUGAACCUGCAGAAGGAUCA